rnacentral:rRNA from 1 species
UUUAACGGCCGCGGUACCCUAACCGUGCGAAGGUAGCAUAAUCACUUGUUCUUUAAAUGGGGACUAGUAUCAACGGCAUCACGAGGGUUUAACUGUCUCCUUUCUCCAAUCAGUGAAACUGAUCUCCCCGUGAAGAAGCGGGGAUUUAUCUAUAAGACGAGAAGACCCCAUGGAGCUUUAAGCCCAACAGCAACUCUGCAAAAAUACUUCUUUAUAGCCUUAGAAUUAUGUUUGUUGGCUUUAGGUUGGGGUGACCGCGGAGUAUAAUACAACCUCCACGACGAACGGGUUUUAACCCCUUAUCCAAGAGCUACUGCUCUAAGAAUCAUUAAACUGACGUAAAAUGAUCCAAUUUUUGAUCAACGAACCAAGUUACCCUGGGGAUAACAGCGCAAUCCAUUUCAAGAGCCCCUAUCGACAAAUGGGUUUACGACCUCGAUGUUGGAUCAGGGU